rnacentral:rRNA from 1 species
UGAUGCUGAUCCCGCCUGCUUGAAGUUGGAAUUGCUAGUCUCGCGGACAGCUUGCCGCGGUGGAUACGUUCCCGGGCCUUGUACACACCGCCCGUCACACCAUGAUAGUCGGGAACACCCGAAGUCCGUAGUCUUACCGCAAGGAGGGCGCUGCCGAAGGUGGGUUCGAUAAUUGGGGUGAAGUCGUAACAAGGUAACCGUA